rnacentral:rRNA from 1 species
AUGGCUUCAACCUCGACUUCGAACGCUGCUGCGCCAGGUUCACAGGAGGUCGACGAUGUGGAAACAAUGAUGAAAGAGCUGGGUCUCCGGGAGGAGGACCUGGACGAUGUGGUUUUUGAUGAGGAAGCGGCUCCACCGGAGGCGGCCCGCUGGAUUGCCCUUGCCAAGGUUCACGGCUCCAAAACUUACAGUCAAUACUGGUUCUUCCGGAAUAUGAUGGAGGCAUGGGAUCUAGCCCAAGAGGUGAAGUUCAAGCCGCUAGAAGAAAAUCUCUACACCGUCCAAUUUUCCUGCUUAGGUGAUUGGGAAAGAGUAACCCAGGAGGGGCCAUGGCACUUCAGGGGCGAUGCGGUCAUCCUCAAGCCUUACGAUGGACUUGCUAAACCAUCAACAGUCCCCCUCGACACCAUUGAGAUCUGGGCGCAAGUUCAUGAUGUACCGCCCCUGUACGCCCACCUGGUGCCAUCCCUCGCGGCGAAAGUAGGGGAAGUACUUUAUGCUGAACCCCAGUCACAAGAUUUCACGGGGAAUUUUCAUCGCGUGUGGGUCAGGAUCAACGUCACGAACCCUCUGAAGAAUGCAGCGUCUAUGAUCAGAGAGGGGAAGCGCUAG